rnacentral:rRNA from 1 species
UAAGGAAUUUUGGACAAUGGGCGUAAGCCUGAUCCAGCAAUGCCGCGUGCAGGAUGAAGGCCUUCGGGUUGUAAACUGCUUUUGUACGGAGCGAAAAGGUCUGCCCUAAUACGGUGGCUCAUGACGGUACCGUAAGAAUAAGCACCGGCUAGCUACGUGCCAGCAGCCGCGGUAAUACGUAGGGUGCGAGCGUUAAUCGGAAUUACUGGGCGUAAAGCGUGCGCAGGCGGUUAUGCAAGACAGAGGUGAAAUCCCCGGGCUCAACCUGGGAACUGCCUUUGUGACUGCAUAGCUAGAGUACGGUAGAGGGGGAUGGAAUUCCGCGUGUAGCAGUGAAAUGCGUAGAUAUGCGGAGGAACACCGAUGGCGAAGGCAAUCCCCUGGACCUGUACUGACGCUCAUGCACGAAAGCGUGGGGAGCAAACA